rnacentral:lncRNA from 1 species
AUCCAUAGUGGAACAAAAAUGGUGGUGUCAUAUGCAGCCAUGUCUGGAGGGAGAGGAAUGUAAAGUCCUUCCAGAUCGCAAAGGAUGGAGCUGUUCCUCUGGAAACAAAGUAAAAACAACUAGGGUAACUCAUUAACGACUCCUAAAUCAAGUAAUCCUCAAGGCUGGUUUCACGGAGACAUCAGAAUAGAAACUGGACUCCUACAGUGACCUGGAAGAUUUUUAUAACUCUCCGAAGAGACAUUUAAAACCCAUUUCCAAGGAAUUCUAUGGCUUGUCCUCUAAUUCCUACUGAAACUAAGACUUUAAAGAAGUCUGAAGUGAACUUUGGGUGCUGAAGACUUCAUCAGCUGUGAACUGUGCUUGGCUCAUGAUGUUUCUGAGGGAAGCGGAACUCUGCUCUCAUGGAGCCGGGAUAGGGUUGGUUUUCCGGGCUGACACCAGAGACUGUCACCUGUAAGAUUUUCUGGCUUCAGCUAUGACUGCUCUUGUGUCUGAAGCUGUCUCCCAAGCACACUGUCCCGUCAUGGAUGUGCUCCUGGCUCCUUUGUUCCUUGUCUAAUAGGACUGUGCACAGCUUUGAGGAUGUUCCCUUUGCAAACUCUUCCGGCAUGGCAUAGACAGAGACAAUUUUAUUGGUAUUCUAACCUUGAAACCCUGAAAGCCUACAUGUUUUAACAUCUUGCUUUUGCCUCUGUAAAAGGAAUAGAAGUAUUUAUCCAUUGAUAACGAUAAUCAUUGGCAAAUCACAGUGAUCUGACUACAUCCCUCAUAAAAGAAUGUGUAGGCGAGCUGGCACAUUUCCCCAAGGCUAACGCGGACUGCAGCUCUCUGACAGUUAAACAGAUAGCAGUUAGGACUGGGUUCCAAUUCCCAUUACACAGUAUUCUGUGCCUCCAGUGCACCCUUCCUUCCAGUUUUUUUUAAAGUGUAUUUUCUUUUUUUUUAUAUUUCCUUUUACUUUCCUUCACAGAAAUCAUCAAUGUACAGUCAACUUAGCAGGUAGCUUUUGAUUUAAAAAAAAUAAAAUAAAACAGGCCAGGGAUGCAUGUGCUUCUCUAAUUUCUCAUCACUUACAUUUCUUCUAGCAUUUUCUUAAACUAUUCUUUCUGUCUCAUUUUAAUAUCAUCUCUUGCUCGAUUCCAAUGACUGCUUGAAUGCUUAUUAUUUGUUCAGUCUGUGGAUAGAAAAAAAAUCUGUUGAUUUUCCUUGACCACAAAGGUCUAAAUAUGUGCUUAUGGUUGUUCUAUUCAAACAUUUCUUGGCCAGUAUUUUGUCCAUAUUUUCACUUGUGAUUUUAGUUCUUCAGGAGUUUUCUUACAAAUAUUUAAAGGCCUUAAACGUUGAUUUACCUUUUUCUAAGUUAUUACAGAAUGUAUAAUUUUGUACGGCAUUUAUUUUGUUUCACUUGUGAAGCGGGGGAAGGGAACAGUGGUUAUGGCCACCCUAUAAUAAUAGUACAAUGUAAACCUAUAGUUUGAAGAAACAUAAAGGCAAGGGUUUUUUCCAUGUCUUGUUUAUUUUAACUUGAUCAAAAUGCUUCACAGAUCAUGCCAUUAGGUGGUCCGUCAUUUUAGUAAAAGAGUGAAGCUGUUUGGGACUUCUUGUAUUUCUAGAACUCAUUGGCAAAGCCAGUUAACCUUGUGUUGGUUUCUAGGAUGGAGGUUCACAUAUUCUAGAGACGAACUUGUAUCUGUUAGUCUGUAACGAUACUCAAAAAGAGUCACACAUUAACUAGAACCCUUUAGUAGGAAGAAGAGCUAAAAUUGUUAAAAAGUGUUAAAAAUUAAAUCGGAAAAACCACACUUUUAAUACUGAGCAAAAGUCAACUGCCUCAUGAAUAUGUGGAAUGCAGCGAUUCCCACCUCACUUUUAAGUGCUUAAAACCUGUUGGGUGGUCCAAGUCUACACAGAGUCAAAAUGAGAGGAGUAAUGUUUGUGCUGCACUUUCUCUGUCAAACGAAGCGAAGCACCACUACUUCCUCUGGUACAAAAUGAAAAACUAUCAUUUGGGAUAUUAAGAAUUUAUCCUAGGUUUGUUUGAAAUUAUGAAUCAUGCUUCUCAUUUUGAAAACUAUGUUAUUUAAACCAACGCUGGAAUUUCUGUAUUAUAUACAAGUGUAAUACAUGUCUAUCGAUAGAAAAAAAUAAAUGGAAUUUCAAAUAUAUGAUCUAGAAUAUUCCCGGUAGAUUAAUGUUGUGACUAUUCGGAAAAAAAUAAAUAAAAUUGGAAUAUAAAGUGGACUCACUUUCACAAGU